rnacentral:rRNA from 1 species
GACGGAGGGUGCAAGCGUUGUUCGGAAUUACUGGGCGUAAAGGGCGCGUAGGCGGCCUGUUAAGUCGAACGUGAAAUCCCCGGGCUCAACCCGGGAACUGCGUCCGAUACUGGCAGGCUUGAAUUCGGGAGAGGGAUGCGGAAUUCCAGGUGUAGCGGUGAAAUGCGUAGAUAUCUGGAGGAACACCGGUGGCGAAGGCGGCAUCCUGGACCGAGAUUGACGCUGAGGCGCGAAAGCCAGGGGAGCAAACGGG